UACGGGGGGGGCAAGCGUUGUUCGGAAUUACUGGGCGUAAAGGGCCAGUAGGCGGCCAACUAAGUCGGAUGUGAAAUCCCCAGGCUUAACCUGGGAACUGCGUCUGAUACUGGAUGGCUUGAGUUCGGGAGAGGGAUGCGGAAUUCCAGGUGUAGCGGUGAAAUGCGUAGAUAUCUGGAGGAAUACCGGUGGCGAAGGCGGCAUCCUGGACCGACAUUGACGCUGAUGAGCGAAAGCUAGGGGAGCAAACGGG
rnacentral:rRNA from 1 species